AGAGUUUGAUCCUCGGCUCAGGAUGAACGCUAGCGGCAGGCUUAAUACAUGCAAGUCGAGGGACAGCACAGGUAGCAAUACUGGGUGGUAACCGGCAAACGGGUGCGGAACACGUACACAACCUUCCUUUAAGUGGGGGAUAGCCCAGAGAAAUUUGGAUUAAUACCCCGUAACACAGUGGAGUGGCAUCACUCUAUUGUUAUAGAUACGUCGCUUAAUGAUGGGUGUGCGUCUGAUUAGAUAGUUGGCGAGGUAACGGCUCACCAAGUCUACGAUCAGUAGCUGAUGUGAGAGCAUGAUCAGCCACACGGGCACUGAGACACGGGCCCGACUCCUACGGGAGGCAGCAGUAAGGAAUAUUGGUCAAUGGACGCAAGUCUGAACCAGCCAUGCCGCGUGAAGGAUUAAGGUCCUCUGGAUUGUAAACUUCUUUUAUUUGGGACGAAAAAGGGCCUUUCUAGGUCAACUGACGGUACCAGAUGAAUAAGCACCGGCUAACUCCGUGCCAGCAGCCGCGGUAAUACGGAGGGUGCAAGCGUUAUCCGGAUUCACUGGGUUUAAAGGGUGCGUAGGCGGGUAGGUAAGUCAGUGGUGAAAUCCUGGAGCUCAACUUCAGAACUGCCAUUGAUACUAUUUAUCUUGAAUAUUGUGGAGGUAAGCGGAAUAUGUCAUGUAGCGGUGAAAUGCUUAGAUAUGACAUAGAACACCUAUUGCGAAGGCAGCUUACUACGCAUAUAUUGACGCUGAGGCACGAAAGCGUGGGGAUCAAACAGGAUUAGAUACCCUGGUAGUCCACGCCCUAAACUAUGAUUACUCGACAUUUGUGAUACACAAUAAGUGUCUGAGCGAAAGCAUUAAGUAAUCCACCUGGGAAGUACGUC
rnacentral:rRNA from 1 species